rnacentral:rRNA from 1 species
UACGUAGGGUGCAAGCGUUGUCCGGAAUUAUUGGGCGUAAAGAGCUCGUAGGCGGUCUGUCGCGUCGGAUGUGAAAACCCAGGGCUCAACCCUGGGCCUGCAUUCGAUACGGGCAGACUAGAGUUCGGUAGGGGAGACUGGAAUUCCUGGUGUAGCGGUGAAAUGCGCAGAUAUCAGGAGGAACACCUGUGGCGAAGGCGGGUCUCUGGGCCGAAACUGACGCUGAGGAGCGAAAGCGUGGGGAGCAAACAGG